rnacentral:misc_RNA from 1 species
AAUGGUACCGAUAGAACCUCUCUGCAAAAAUAAUUACAUCCAUAAUUCCCCUGACAACUCUAAAAUUCAAUAUUGACAAAUUGAACUUUCAAGCAGUGUACCAAGUUCAAUUGGAGAACAAGAUGAAUUUUGACUCACUAACAAGAUCAGAGGGAAUCAGAGAAUGCCUGCCUAAUAUAUAACUAUGGGCUAGGUCUAUUGGCAACAGUUGAGUGGAUAUGCAUAGCAGAUCUCAUGGUCAGCAGAUUCAAACUCUACCAAGUGACUAGAUGAAGCAGAGAAAUGAACACAGCAGAUAGUGGCCGAAUUCCAAAUGGUAUCCAUAGAGCCACUAUGCAAAUAGUUAUACUCAAAAUUCUUCUCACUACUCUGAAAGUAAAAACUAAAAACUGCAGCACAUACAUAAAUUGAACUUUCAAGAAGUUACCAAUUUUAAGGAGAUAAGGGAUAUUUUAGAUUCAGUAAUAGGAUUGAAGAAGUUAGACUGCCCACCAAACACAACCCCAUGUGUUAAGUCCACUGUCAGCAAAUUAAGGGUAUAUGCAUACUCACUACAAAAGAAAAACUGAUAAUCCAAUUCCAACAGCAAUUUAGACAAAGAAAAAUCUCGUCCAUGGCUAUACCAGCUUGUCAGUUACAGCCAAAGCAUGUCCCUCUAGGCAAAAGCAAAAUGAUG